GAUGAAGAGAAAGUUCUAUUCUUGGGACGAAUGUUUGAACUUGAGAGAAGUUAAGUCUCUGAAGAAACUUAAUCAUGCCAAUGUGAUUAAACUGAAAGAUGUUAUCAGAGAAAAUGACCAUCUUUAUUUUAUAUUUGAAUAUAUAAAAGAAAACCUCUAUCAAUUAAUGAAAGACAGAGUGCUGACAACAUCCUAGUGACUUCUGAGCAACCGAGAUGCGAGCUGCGAAGGGUUGAAAGCUUCAUCCUUGGCCCGGACUUGGAGUUGAGGACAGUGGCCCAGGCUGGGCGGGUUGGGGAGACAUGGCCAUCAGGCCCCUGUGCCGUCAUCUCAGCAGCUAGAGAUUGACACCUUGGGAAGUGUACCCACAUGGGAAGAACCGACCCAUCAAUCAAAGACCCACUGAGCACUCUUGGGUGUGAGAACCUGGAUAUAACAUGAAGACCAUGUCUCAGCCUUGUCCUAGAAGAGCGUGUUGGUAAGAAUCUAGAACUGGGACUCUGAUGAAGGGUUGGUGUUAACUAUGGAUCUGUACUUGUUUUUUUUCUUUUCCUUGGUGGCUGGCGUUAGUUAUAAGGUGGCACUCUUACCCAUUGAGCCAACCAGCCACCCCUGGAUGUGUAACUGGAGGAAAAGCUAUCUAUGGAAAUCAAUUGCAACUUGAGUCUGAAACCAGUAGAUUAGUGGAUGAGGGUAAAGAACAGGUGACACAUGAGUUAUUUAACCAGAAAUUCAAGCAGAGACUGAGGUUGGGGCAUAGCAGACAAGCCUCAGAGAGCUGACCCUUAGUGCAAAGGUCCAGACUGGUGAUGGUCAGCUCUAGUAAGGGCAGGCAGGAGGCAACAGGUAACCAUACACAGGAGGUGGGAGUUGAGGGGAGGGAAAUUUAGCCCUUCGGUUCUGGGCCAGGGCAUA